AUCCAACUGAUGAGUCCCAAAUUGGACGAAACACACGUCAAACUGGAU
rnacentral:hammerhead_ribozyme from 1 species